rnacentral:rRNA from 1 species
UACGUAGGGCGCAAGCGUUUAUCCGGAAUUAUUGGGCGUAAAGAGCUCGUAGGCGGUUUGUCGCGUCUGCCGUGAAAGUCCGGGGCUCAACUCCGGAUCUGCGGUGGGUACGGGCAGACUAGAGUGAUGUAGGGGAGACUGGAAUUCCGUGGUGUAGCGGUGAAAUGCGCAGAUAUCAGGAGGAACACCGGUGGCGAAGGCGGGUCUCUGGGCCGAAACUGACGCUGAGGAGCGAAAGCAUGGGGAGCGAACAGG